rnacentral:rRNA from 1 species
UACGUAGGGUGCAAGCGUUAUCCGGAUUCACUGGGUUUAAAGGGUGCGUAGGUGGGCAGGUAAGUCAGUGGUGAAAUCUCCGGGCUUAACCCGGAACUGCCGUUGAUACUAUUUGUCUUGAAUAUUGUGGAGGUAAGCGGAAUAUGUCAUGUAGCGGUGAAAUGCUUAGAUAUGACAUAGAACACCAAUUGCGAAGGCAGCUUACUACACAACGAUUGACGCUGAGGCACGAAAGCGUGGGGAUCAAACAGGA